rnacentral:rRNA from 1 species
AAUCUUGCACAAUGGGCGAAAGCCUGAUGCAGCAACGCCGCGUGAGGGACGAAGGCUUUCUGAGUUGUAAACCUCUUUCAGCAGGGACGAUUAUGACGGUACCUGCAGAAGAAGCCCCGGCCAACUACGUGCCAGCAGCCGCGGUAAUACGUAGGGGGCAAGCGUUGUCCGGAUUUAUUGGGCGUAAAGAGCUCGUAGGCGGCUUGGCAAGUCGGGUGUGAAACCUCCAGGCUCAACCUGGAGCCGCCAUUCGAUACUGCCAUGGCUAGAGUUUGGUAGGGGACCACGGAACUCCUGGUGUAGCGGUGAAAUGCGCAGAUAUCAGGAAGAACACCAGCGGCGAAGGCGGUGGUCUGGGCCAAUACUGACGCUGAGGAGCGAAAGCGUGGGGAGCGA